rnacentral:rRNA from 1 species
UACGUAGGGGCCGAGCGUUGUCCGGAGUUACUGGGCGUAAAGCGCGCGCAGGCGGCGUACCGCGCCCGGCGUGAAAGCCCCCGGCUCAACCGGGGAGGGUCGUCGGGGACGGGUGCGCUUGAGGACGGCAGGGGCAGGUGGAAUUCCCGGUGUAGUGGUGAAAUGCGUAGGAGAUCGGGAGGAACACCCAGGGGGAAACCAGCCG